UACAGAGGGUGCGAGCGUUGUUCGGAAUUAUUGGGCGUAAAGGGCGCGUAGGCGGCGCCACAAGUCACUUGUGAAAACUCUGGGCUCAACUCAGAGCCUGCAAGCGAAACUGUGGUGCUGGAGUAUGGGAGAGGUGCGUGGAAUUCCCGGUGUAGCGGCGAAAUGCGUAGAUAUCGGGAGGAACACCUGUGGCGAAAGCGGCGCACUGGACCACAACUGACGCUGAGGCGCGAAAGCUAGGGGAGCAAACAGG
rnacentral:rRNA from 1 species